CCGUAGAAGCUUUCAAAGUUGCUGAUGCUCCUGCCAAGGUUUUCGUUCUUUUGAUGGAAAACAGUCAAAACACUGAGGAGAUUUUUCCAUUUUACACACAGAUCCUCCAGUUCCAGGCUCAGUGGUCUAUAUUGUGUAUAUAGGGGAGAAGAAGAAGAAUAAUUGGGAUGAAAUUUCCACACAGUCAUUGCAUCAUUCCAUGUUACUAGAGGUUCAUGAGAGGGAGGAGGAAGAGGUUGAUAGAUUCAACAAAGUUCAAGAGAGUUUCUUUACAAGUUCUUCAACUCUCAGUAUACUUGAAUUCAUUUUAUCGGUGUUUCUUCCAUGCUCAUUGCAUCGUAGGCAUUCAUUCAACGCUUUUCUUUAUGGAAUUCUGCUACAUCACUGAAGAUACAUACACGAAAAACAAAGGAAUUCUCUCUCUGGAACUUUGUCUGCAGCAAUUGGAAACCUAACAAAUCUUCGUCAAGUGUUAUUGCAGAACAACAAUAUCUCAGGUCAAAUUCUGCCAGAGCUUGGAACCCUUCCAAAGCUUCAGACAUUGGAUCUUUCCAAUAAUUGAUUCUCUAGGGUGAUUCCUUCCACUCUCGGCCAAUUAGAUAGUCUCCAAUACCUGUUUGACCCAGCAGAAAGGACGCCAUCUAUAAUUAAAAGGAAGCACAGCAAAUCGAAAGGACGCCAUCAUUUGACCCAGCAGAAAAAGCAAGAGAUUAAGGAAGCUUCUGAGUUAUUUGACACUGAUGGCUCAAGUAUUAUUGAUGCCAUGGUGCUGAAUGUUGCCAUGAGGGCCCUAAGGUUCGAGAUGACAGAAGAG